CCUACGAGGUGCAGCAGUAGGGAAUAUUGCUCAAUGGGGGAAACCCGAAAGAAGCAACGCCCGGGGGAGGAGGAAGGUUUUCGGAUUGUAAACUCCUUUGGUUAUAAAAGAUAAUGACGGUAUCUAACGAAUAAGCACCGGCUAACUCCGUGCCAGAGGCCGCGGUAAUACGGAGGGGGCAAGCGUUACUCGGAAUCCCUGGGCGUAAAGAGCGCGUAGGCGGGAUAGCAAGUCAGAUGUGAAAUCCUAUGGCUUAACCAUAGAACUGCAUUUGAAACUGUUAUUCUAGAGUAUGGGAGAGGUAGGUGGAAUUCUUGGUGUAGGGGUAAAAUCCGUAGAGAUCAAGAGGAAUACUCAUUGCGAAGGCGACCUGCUAGAACAUAACUGACGCUGAUGCGCGAAAGCGUGGGGAGCAAACAGGAUUAGAUACCCGGGUAGUC
rnacentral:rRNA from 1 species